AGUUUUUAUUCACAGGUCCUCUUUCGAAGGCAAGACGCUUCAGAAUUAUGACUCACCAGCAGAGGAAAUACUGAGCAGGUACAGUGAGGGGUGAGCGCCCGUGGUUGGUUGACCUUUGUGUGCAGUCGUGUGCAGGUUGGUUCACCUGUGGUGGUGAGUUCUGGUUAAGUCAAGUGAUCUAGAGGUGUGUGGGUGACCAGAACUUUCAACCCACCUGCGGCUCAGCGCUGUGACUCAUCCACACUUGCUGCUUUCUUCUGAUCUACUGUCACGUGAUGCCCUGAAGUCAUGGACCUGAGCCAUAUUUACAGACCAGACUAUCAGGAUGCAGGACUCUUAUGGCCCGGACCGAUGAGUCUUUAAAAUCUCUACAUCAGUGUGGACGGCUGGACGCAGGACAGAUCUGCUGUUUGAUGAGUUUAU